rnacentral:rRNA from 1 species
UGGGGAAUUUUGGACAAUGGGCGAAAGCCUGAUCCAGCCAUGCCGCGUGAGUGAAGAAGGCCUUCGGGUUGUAAAGCUCUUUUAGUCGGAAAGAAAGAGUUGCAAUGAAUAAUUGUGAUUUAUGACGGUACCGACAGAAAAAGCACCGGCUAACUACGUGCCAGCAGCCGCGGUAAUACGUAGGGUGCGAGCGUUAAUCGGAAUUACUGGGCGUAAAGGGUGCGCAGGCGGUCUUGCAAGUCAGAUGUGAAAGCCCCGGGCUUAACCUGGGAAUUGCGUUUGAAACUACAAAACUAGAGUGCAGCAGAGGGGAGUGGAAUUCCAUGUGUAGCAGUGAAAUGCGUAGAGAUGUGGAAGAACACCGAUGGCGAAGGCAGCUCCCUGGGUUGACACUGACGCUCAUGCACGAAAGCGUGGGGAGCAAAC